rnacentral:rRNA from 1 species
CCUACGGGUGGCAGCAGUGAGGAAUAUUGGUCAAUGGGCGGAAGCCUGAACCAGCCAAGUAGCGUGCAGGAUGACGGCCCUACGGGUUGUAAACUGCUUUUAUACGGGAAUAACGCGCCUUACGUGUAGGGCUUUGCAUGUACCGUAUGAAUAGGGACCGGCUAAUUCCGUGCCAGCAGCCGCGGUAAUACGGAAGGUCCGGGCGUUAUCCGGAUUUAUUGGGUUUAAAGGGAGCGUAGGCCGCAUGUCAAGCGUGCUGUGAAAUGUCCGGGCUCAACCCCGUCGUGCCGUUGAAACUGAUGUUCUUGAGUGGGCGAGAAGUAUGCGGAAUGCGUGGUGUAGCGGUGAAAUGCAUAGAUAUCACGCAGAACUCCGAUUGCGAAGGCAGCAUACCGGCGCCCAACUGACGCUGAAGCACGAAAGCGUGGGUAUCGAACAGGAUUAGAUACCCGUGUAGUC